CAACAUGGCGAUGGAGGAAACUGAGUGCAACAAUCUCCUGAAAUUGCUAUUGAGCCAACAAUGAUGCUUAGGGCGACAUCCACAGAGGCGAUGUUUAUACGAGUUAUAUAAUCGAAGAUCGGUUUCCCAGAACAGCAGCUGUCUUAACAGCUGAACGACUGGAAACUCUGUCAAGCAUUGGGCAGACAUAAGCUGCAGUGGACUCUUGAGUGUGGACUUCUGGAAAAACGAGGCGCCUUACACUCACCAGUGGGGUCACCAGGUUCCCUCACUCUGAAACGGUCCCAGCAUCUCAACAGAUCACUUGCAUUCCCAUAAAACGACGCUGAGCUAAUGAACAUUGCCACAACGCCAAAAUAAAGGGUACUCCAGGCCCAAUGUCACCGCGGUACCAAUCCGGCUCCUACAGCCGCCAUCCAGGAUGAGCAUUGUGGGUCCCAGCGGAAGGAUAAUUAUGCCCAUGGGCUCGCAGCUAUCC